UACGUAGGUGGCGAGCGUUAUCCGGAAUUAUUGGGCGUAAAGAGCGCGCAGGUGGUUGAUUAAGUCUGAUGUGAAAGCCCACGGCUUAACCGUGGAGGGUCAUUGGAAACUGGUCGACUUGAGUGCAGAAGAGGGAAGUGGAAUUCCAUGUGUAGCGGUGAAAUGCGUAGAGAUAUGGAGGAACACCAGUGGCGAAGGCGGCUUCCUGGUCUGUAACUGACACUGAGGCGCGAAAGCGUGGGGAGCAAACAGGAUUAGAUAACCCGGUA
rnacentral:rRNA from 1 species